rnacentral:lncRNA from 1 species
UUGGUCCUAUAAAAUAUUAUAUUUUCUGAUUAAGUUUGCUUCAGUGACUGCAUCCCUGGUGGCAAUUGAAAGAGAAGCAGCAAAUUUUUCAGAUUGAAGAUGUUCAAAAUGCCUGAUGAGUGAAAACAGAGUCAUUGAUACGUACGCAUCUCACGAAAACUGAAGAAUAUCAAAGAGAAAAAUAAAAUUUUACAAGUAAA